rnacentral:lncRNA from 1 species
AGUUCUUUCUAGGUAGCUUCAGUAAACUCACUCACCUUGUGAAGAAAUGGCAAGGCAUACACUUGUAGUGUUAGAAGUCAUAUUUGAACCCUUUGUCCACAUAGCCAUCCACAAUGUUUUAAGGCUUAAAAAUAGAUUUAGAAACCUGAGGGGAAAGGUUUUAUUUCUUGCUAUAUAUUGCUGGCCUGUCAAGAAGAAGAGAGCAAAGACCAGAGCAUAUCCUCCCAUCGCCAACAGCUAGCAUGCAUGGCAGUGGCACACCAAAAUUCCUUGAAACCCGAUGGGUCGGUACUGUUUCGUUAUGUUACUUACCCACCACUCUUUGCUUGUUUACUGCGUUAAAAUGACUCACAUUUCAGAGUUAUUGGCAGCAACUUCUUCC